rnacentral:rRNA from 1 species
AGUGAACGCUGGCGGUAGGCCUAACUCAUGCAAGUCGAACGGCAGCACAGUAAGAGCUUGCUCUUACGGGUGGCGAGUGGCGGACGGGUGAGGAAUACAUCGGAAUCUACUUUUUCGUGGGGGAUAACGUAGGGAAACUUACGCUAAUACCGCAUACGACCUACGGGUGAAAGCAGGGGAUCUUCGGACCUUGCGCGAUUGAAUGAGCCGAUGUCGGAUUAGCUAGUUGGCGGGGUAAAGGCCCACCAAGGCGACGAUCCGUAGCUGGUCUGAGAGGAUGAUCCGCCACCCUGGAACUGAGACACGGUCCCGACUCCUACGGGAGGCAGCAGUGGGGACUAUUGGACAAUGGGCGCAAGCCUGAUCCAGCCAUACCGCGUGGGUGAAGAAGGCCUUCGGGUUGUAAAGCCCUUUUGUUGGGAAAGAAAAGCAGCAGGUUAAUCCCCCGCUGUUCUGACGGUACCCAAAGAAUAAGCACCGGCUAACUUCGUG